rnacentral:rRNA from 1 species
UACGAAGGGGGCUAGCGUUGUUCGGAAUCACUGGGCGUAAAGGGCGCGUAGGCGGCUUUAUAAGUCGGGGGUGAAAGCCUGUGGCUCAACCACAGAAUUGCCUUCGAUACUGUAGAGCUUGAGACCGGAAGAGGUAAGUGGAACUGCGAGUGUAGAGGUGAAAAUUCGUAGAUAUUCGCAAGAACACCAGUGGCGAAGGCGGCUUACUGGUCCGGUUCUGACGCUGAGGCGCGAAAAGCGUGGGGGAGCAAACAGG